AUUGAACGCUGGCGGCAUGCUUUACACAUGCAAGUCGAACGGUAACAGGUCUUCGGAUGCUGACGAGUGGCGAACGGGUGAGUAAUACAUCGGAACGUGCCUAAUAGUGGGGGAUAACUACUCGAAAGAGUAGCUAAUACCGCAUGAGAUCCACGGAUGAAAGCAGGGGACCUUCGGGCCUUGUGCUACUAGAGCGGCUGAUGGCAGAUUAGGUAGUUGGUGGGGUAAAGGCUUACCAAGCCUGCGAUCUGUAGCUGGUCUGAGAGGACGACCAGCCACACUGGGACUGAGACACGGCCCAGACUCCUACGGGAGGCAGCAGUGGGGAAUUUUGGACAAUGGGCGAAAGCCUGAUCCAGCAAUGCCGCGUGCAGGAUGAAGGCCCUCGGGUUGUAAACUGCUUUUGUACGGAACGAAAAGCCUGGGGCUAAUAUCCCCGGGUCAUGACGGUACCGUAAGAAUAAGCACCGGCUAACUACGUGCCAGCCGCCGCCGUAA
rnacentral:rRNA from 1 species